GUGAAUAUCUUCCCCAGUGAAGUCGCCAACAGACGAAUCCGGUGUCUUAUCCCUGCAGAGCUGAUCAGAGUGUUGGAUUCUUCAAUCCCCAGCAGGUUCUCACCACCGUACUUCCCCAAGCGGUUGUUUCAGAAUAUACACUCCCCAGUAGAGUUGACAGUACCAGAUUGUAUAUCCCCAGCGGAGUUGACAGUGCCAGACUGUAUCUUCCCAGCAGAAUCGGCUACUCCUUAGAGUUCGAGGCCAGAUCGAUAAUCCCAAUGCCGGAUCCAUGGUUUCUUUCCUUGAAGCAGAACCUCGGUACCGUAUCGGUGUUUGCUUCCCCUGCUGAGUCAUCUCUCGUAGAUCGUGGUUGCCAGAACCACUGUCGCUUUCCUCAGCAGCAAGUUUUCAGUACCAUUCUCUCAGAGCCUCGGUAUUUUGUUAUUUGCUAGAACACCGUGUGGCGGGUCAUUUCCCCACAUAUUCUUUGUGUUGUGCAUCUCCAGCAGCCUUGCCAAGGUUCAGAAGAUGGUGAUCAUUUCCCCAGCAGAUCCCCUUGCCUCAGCUUGGCAUUCUAUCCAGCAUUUCGCAUCCCUGCAUGUAGAAUCAUAUUGCAUUGCAAAUCACGUAGCAUUUCCAUUUUCAUGGAGCAUUACGCCAUUGAAAAAUUCAAACAUACGCAUAUAAGCAUAAAACAUGCUAGGCAUCCCAAGUGAUAAGCUAGAAGUUGUUUCCAGUACUCGGACUGAAGAUUGUUCAUGACUCACCUUGGUUAUCCCCAGCAAGUGUCAUUGGCCCAUGCGCCGCCUCUAUUAUCCUUCCCUAUUUCUGCCGAUGAUGACGGGCAUGAAGUUUUUCCGGUAUCCAGACCGAAGUGGCAUUCAGGCCAGUGUUCCGGUAUUCAGACCGAAGUGGCAUUCAGGCCAGGUUUCCGGUAUUCAGACCGAAGUGGCAUUCAGGACAGUGUUCCGGUAUUCAGACCGAAGUGGCAUUCAGGCC
rnacentral:lncRNA from 1 species